UACCUGGUUGAUCCUGCCAGUAGUCAUAUGCUUGUCUCAAAGAUUAAGCCAUGCAAGUCUAAGUACGAGCUCUCGUACAGUGAAACUGCGAAUGGCUCAUUAAAUCAGUUAUGGUUCAUUUGAUCGUACAGUUUACUUGGAUAACUGUGGUAAUUCUAGAGCUAAUACAUGCGAGAAGCGCCGACCUCGCGGGAGGCGUGCAUUUAUCAGACCAAAAACCGGCCGCGUCUUCGGGCGCGUUCGCCUUGGUGACUCUGGAUAACUUUGCGGAUCGCACGGUCUAGCACCGGCGACGGAUCAUUCAAGUGUCUGCCCUAUCAACUUUCGUCGGUACGGUAUUUGCCUACCGAGGUUCUUACGGGUGACGGGGAAUCAGGGUUCGAUUCCGGAGAGGGAGCCUGAGAAACGGCUACCACAUCCAAGGAAGGCAGCAGGCGCGCAAAUUACCCAUUCCCGACGCGGGGAGGUAGUGACGAAAAAUAACAAUGCAGGACUCGUUCGAGGCCCUGUAAUUGGAAUGAGUACACUUUAAAAGCUUUAACGAGUAUCCAUUGGAGGGCAAGUCUGGUGCCAGCAUCCGCGGUAAUUCCAGCUCCAAAAGUAUAUAUUUAAGUUGUUGCGGUUAAAAAGCUCGUAGUUGGAUUUUGGGCGCAGGCGGCCGGUCCGUCGCAAGGCGUGUACUGGACGUCCUGGCCUUCCCUCCGGUUCUCCGCCGGUGCUCUUGACUGAGUGUCGGCGGCGGCCGGAACGUUUACUUUGAAAAAAUUAGAGUGUUCAAAGCAGGCUCUCGAGCCUGGAUAAUGGUGCAUGGAAUAAUGGAAUAGGACCUCGGUUCUAUUUUGUUGGUUUUCGGAGCGCGAGGUAAUGAUUAAGAGGGACAGACGGGGGCAUUCGUACUGUGCCGUUAGAGGUGAAAUUCUUGGAUCGGCGCAAGACGAACGACUGCGAAAGCAUUUGCCAAGAAUGUUUUCUUUAAUCAAGAGCGAAAGUCAGAGGUUCGAAGACGAUCAGAUACCGUCCUAGUUCUGACUAUAAACGAUGCCAACUAGCGAUCGGUGGGCGUUACAUUGACGACCCCUCCGGCAGCUUACGGGAAACC
rfam:Ciona savignyi cont_42685, whole genome shotgun sequence.